UCAGCAAACAUAUUAAGCACUUACGAAAGAUCAAAAUCGAUGCGGCUUGUUUAGAUCCUUAAUAGAUAACUUGUGACAACAAGCAAACAAAAUAAAACAAUACCAGGUUAAACACUUGUGGCAACAAGCAAGCAAAAUAAAACAAUACUAGGUUAAACUCAUAAGAGAGAAAAAACCGCUCUUUUUUUUUUUUUUUUUUUU